UAUCUCUGUAGAGUCUGCAUAUCAAUAAGCGGAGGAAAAGAAACUAACUAGGAUUCCCUUAGUAACGGCGAGUGAAGCGGGAAGAGCUCAAAUUUGAAAUCUUCAAGGUUCUACCUUGACGAAUUGUAGUUUAUAGAAGUGUUUUCUGUUAGUGGAGUGGCAAAAGUUCUUUGGAAUAGGACAUCAUAGAGGGUGAGAAUCCCGUAUUUGGUCAUUCCUCCUAGCGUUGUGAUACACUUUCAACGAGUCGGAUUGUUUGGGAAUGCAGUCCAAAAUGGGUGGUAAAUUUCAUCUAAAGCUAAAUAUUGGCGAGAGACCGAUAGCGAACAAGUACCGUGAGGGAAAGAUGAAAAGAACUUUGAAAAGAGAGUUAAACAGUACGUGAAAUUGUCAAAAGGGAAGCGUUUGACACCAGUGUUGUUUUUCCGAAAAUCAAUUACGAAUGUUUUAUUUUUGAGGAGUUAUGACUUCAUCGGCUUGCUCCUUUCUUUAUGAAACUUUCUUAAUGCACUUUUCGGUUAACAAGUCAACAUCAAUUUCUUUUGUUGUAAAAGGGUAUGAGGAAGGUGGCUUUCUUUUCGGAGAAAGUGUUUAUAGCCUUGUGCCUCUGCAAUCGGAGAGAUUGAGGUCUGCAGCGUAGAUCCUUCGGGGUUAGAUACGUUUGUGCUAAGUUAUAGCUUUUCAUAGACAACUUGUUGACUAUGUUUAGUCUUGUAGCUUACUCGCUGACGCUAUUUUACCUACGCUUAGGAUGUUGAAUCUGUGCGAGACUAC
rnacentral:rRNA from 1 species